AUGUGAAAUAUUUGCCUUCGGCAAAUGUGAAAUAUCGGCCUAUAGCCGAUGUGAAAUAUGGCCUACUGGCCAUGUGAUAUAUACU
rnacentral:sRNA from 1 species